AGUGAACGCUGGCGGUAGGCCUAACACAUGCAAGUCGAACGGUAGCACAGUAAGAGCUUGCUCUUACGGGUGGCGAGUGGCGGACGGGUGAGGAAUACAUCGGAAUCUACUUUUUCGUGGGGGAUAACGUAGGGAAACUUACGCUAAUACCGCAUACGACCUACGGGUGAAAGCAGGGGACCUUCGGACCUUGCGCGAUUGAAUGAGCCGAUGUCGGAUUAGCUAGUUGGCGGGGUAAAGGCCCACCAAGGCGACGAUCCGUAGCUGGUCUGAGAGGAUGAUCAGCCACACUGGAACUGAGACACGGUCCAGACUCCUACGGGAGGCAGCAGUGGGGAAUAUUGGACAAUGGGCGCAAGCCUGAUCCAGCCAUACCGCGUGGGUGAAGAAGGCCUUCGGGUUGUAAAGCCCUUUUGUUGGGAAAGAAAAGCAGCAGGUUAAUACCCCGCUGUUCUGACGGUACCCAAAGAAUAAGCACCGGCUAACUUCGUG
rnacentral:rRNA from 1 species